rnacentral:misc_RNA from 1 species
GAUGAAGAACGUAGUGAAAUGCGAUACUUGGUGUGAAUUGCAGAAUCCCGUGAACCAUCGAGUCUUUGAACGCAAGUUGCGCCCGAAGCCACUAGGCCGAGGGCACGCCUGCCUGGGCGUCACACGCCGUUGCCCCCCCAUCUACCCCUUCGGGAUUGCGGGGGGGCGGAUGAUGGCCUCCCGUGCGCCUAGCCGCGCGGUUGGCAUAAAUACCAAGUCCUCGGCGACGCACGCCACGACAAUCGGUGGUUGCGAAACCUCGGUUGCCCGUCGUGUGCGUUCGUCGCGCAUCGAGGGCUCGAAAAAAUGCUCGGCUCCGGCUGGGCUUUCAACGCGACCCCAGGUCAGGCGGGGUUACCCGCUGAAUUUAAGCAUAUCAAUAAGCGGAGGA